rnacentral:lncRNA from 1 species
AUAGGGAAAUAUGGACACUAAAUAUCCAUUUCUUAGGUGUCAACCUGGUACAUUAGGCUGUAUAGUACAUGGCAGAGUUCUUCCAGCUACUAAUUCAGGUAAUCUGAUUCAUAUCUUAGGCACUUUUCUUUAGGCAUAGUUAACUAACAGCAAGGACAUUGCCAUAUAUGAAUGUAUGAACAAAAAAAAGGAGGUUGAAAGAACAUGCGGUGCCCCCAUGUUUGGUUUUGGUAAUUGAUGACAAUCUCUAUGGACUAAUGGUUGCCUUGAGUUAUAUUUGAAGGAUUUGUCCAUAGGCAUUUCUUGAAGUCCAUGUGUUGGUUUCAAGGAGUUUAUGUGGUGACCAAGGUGUUAUUAAGGAAUUAUCCAAAGAUUGGUCAUGUGAGAGUAGAGCUUAUUGCAAGCAUGUCUUGAAGAAGAAGAUUGUGUGAUCAUUCAUGUUUACCUUCAAGACAUCAUCCAAAUGAAGAGAGUUGGAAAGAGUCAAGGUUGAUCAAGACUAUCAAGUUGAUCAACACACAAAGCGCACAAGAUGUACCAAGAGGGAUCAAGCGAUCCCAUGGUGUGGUAAGCAUUGUCGAUUACGCUUUGUGUACUAACCCAUGAUCUUCGUGAGAGUUCUUUGUGGGGUUAGGUUGCGGUGUGCAAGUUCAAGUGAAGCAUCAUGAAGAGAUCAAAUGCUUGAAGCUUGCCGUCCAUUGUGGCGACAAUGGACUUGUGAAGAUGUUGCGGUGUGCAAGUUCAAGUGAAGCAUCAUGAAGAGAUCAAAUGCUUGAAGCUUGCCGUCCAUUGUGGUGACAAUGGACUGUGAAGAUGUGCGGAAGAGUGGCUCACCCAUAGUGGAGUAUGGGGGAGCAAUCAACUAGUAUUCAUCGAGCCAACACAACCAAGAAAGGUGGUCCAUCUUGAGGGAGUCAAGAUCGUCAUCUUCUGGCUCAAGUGGACCAUGUGCAAGGCAAAGGUUUGCUCUUGAUAGGUUUUCUAUUUUACCGGUCUCAUGAUGGUAGUUGGGAGACCGGGUUAUAGGAUCGAUUGCCGUACUAUCAAGGGGGGCUCUCGAUGAGUAGCUUGAUCGUAUCGUUCAUAGAGAGCUCAAACCAUUGCAUCCUUGCAUCAUCUUUGUUGGUUCUUGUUUGGUUCUUCUCUUUGUGAGUUUUGGAGCUUAUGGUCAUCUUGAUGACAAGCUCGAGUUCAUCGAAAACGGAGUUCACUCGCAUCUUCUAUGAUGUUUUCGAUGUUGGAGGUUAUGCCGGUUCUUCUCGGUUGGAGGUUUCACUCCUCUAUUUUUUGGCAUACCUCCCCUUCCUCUCGCUGUUUUGAUGCUACUCGUCUUUCUCAAUCCAACAAGCUUGAGUUUGCUCAAUUCGGAGCUCAUAUGCAGAAGUUAUGGCAGUUUUGGUUUCCUAGCGGUAGUACUGCGGCCAGAGCGGCAGUACCGCUUAUCACCCCAAGCGGUAGUACCGCUGUCCAAAGCGGUAGUACCGCCUAUGGCCAUAAGCGGUAGUACGGCUACGGUUCCGCGCUGGUACCGCCUCGAUUUUGGGUCUUGCAUUUUUUGUGUCGAGUUUUGCAGUAGUUGCACGGCAGUAAGGCACGGCAGUUCCACCUAUAAGCGGUAGUACCGCCCUGAUGGGCGGUAGUACCGCCUAUAAGCGGUAGUAUCGCUCCGGUCGGGCGGUAGUACCGCUACUGUUUUUUGGUCCCGUGUUCUGCUCCUCCAGCGGUAGUACCGCUGGGGUGCGCGGUAGUACCGCUUAUAAGCGGUACUACCGCCCCAAGGUUCAUGUUUGGUUGCUCCUUUUCCCUGCUUCUUCCGCCAGAGCGGUAGUACCGCUCGUGGAGCGGUAGUACCGCUCGUGUGCGGGCUGAGCACAUAACGGUUGGAUUUUUCCCCUUCUAUAAAAGGGGGUCUUCUUCCCCAUUGAACCUUAUCCUUUGAGCUCGUGUUCUUCCCCCAUUGUUGACCUUCUUCGAGCUUGCUAACUCUCAAUCACUCCAUGGAUUCUUGCUAGUUUUUGAGGGAAAAGAGAGAGGAGAUCUAGAUCCACAUUUCCACCAAUCACUUUCUCCUCUUUGUGAGGGGAACCCCUUGGAUCUAGAUCUUGGAGUUCUUGGUGUUCUCCUUCUUGUUCUUCCUCUCAUUUUCUUCCCUAGCAUUAGUUGCUACGGUGGAAUUUGAGAGAGAAGGACUUGGGCACUCCGUGUGCCCUUGCCAUUGCAUUUGGUGCAUCGGUUUGAGUUCUCCACGGUGAUACGUGGAAGUUACAAGUUGAGAAACUUAUUACUCUUGGGUGCUUGGUGCCCUUGAGCUUGUUCCUCUUGGGUGCUUGGGCACCCUAGACGGUUGAUGGUGUUCGGAGCUCAAUCAUUGUGGUGUAAAGCUCCGGGCAAGCGUCGGGGUCUCCAAUUAGGUUGUGGAGAUCGCCCCGAGCAAUUUGACGGGUACCGGUGACCGCCCCCAAGGGUUGCCAAAGUGUACGGGUUCGGUGACCGCCCCCAAGGGUUGCCAUUUGUACGGGUUCGGUGACCGCCCUCAAGGGUCCCUUAGUGGAAUCACGGCAUCUUGCAUUGUGCGAGGGCGUGAGGAGAUUACGGUGGCCCUAGUGGCUUCUUGGGGAGCAUUGUGCCUCCACACCGCUCCAAACGGAGAUUAGCAUCUGCAAGGGUGUGAACUUCGGGAUACAUCGUCGUCUCCACGUGCCUCGGUUAUCUCUUAACCGAACCCUUUACUUACGCACUUUACUUUGUGAUAGCCAUAUUGUUUCUUGUCAUAUAUCUUGCUAUCACUUAGUUGUUUAUCUUGCUUAGCAUAAGUUGUUGGUGCACAUAGGUGAGCCUAGUUGUUGUAGGUUUUGUGCUUGUCAAAUUAACCGCUAGGUUUAUUCCGCAUUUGUUCAAGCCUAAACCGUAAUUAUUUUAAAGCGCCUAUUCACCCCCCCUUCUAGGCGACAUCCACGAUUUUUCAGAGGUACAGUAAUGAUUUCACAUAUGCAC